rnacentral:rRNA from 1 species
UUGAAGAACUAGCGUACGGGUGAGUCAACAUAAGAAUCUGCCUUAAGAAUUGGAAUAAUUUUUUGCUGAUUUUAUUAGUAAUAAAAAAUACCAAAUAUUUAAAAGAUUUUAUAUCGUCUUAAGAUGAGCUUAUGCAGGAUUAGGUAGUUGGAGAGGUAAAAGCUCAACAAGCCGACGAUCCUUAGUUGAUUUGAGAGAAUGAUCAGCCACACUGGGACUGAGAUAAGGCCCAGGCUUUUGCCAGCAGUGAGGAAUCUUGGACAAUGGGCGAAAGCUUGAUCCAGUAAUAUUGCGUGAAUGAGGACAGCAAAAAAGAUUUAGGGGUUAAACCUUAAAUUGGUUGUAAAGUUCUUUCGUUAGUGAAGAUAAUGACCGUAACUAAAGAAGAAACCCCGGCUAACUUCGUGCCAGCAGCCGCGGUAAGACGAAGGGGGUGAGCAUUAUCCGGAAUUAUUGGGCGUAAAGGGUUCGUAGGUUGCAAAUGUUUUCAUAUGUAAAAGUUUAAUCUUGUGUUAAAAAGGCGUAUGAUACUCUUUUGCUUGAGUCUAUUAGGGGAUAACAGAAUUUUAUAGGGAGGAGUGAAAUCCGUAGAGCUAUAAAGGAAUGCCAGUGGCGAAAGCGGUUAUCUGGAAUAGUACUGACACUGAGGAACGAAAGCAUGGGGAGCAAACAGGAUUAGAUACCCUGGUAGUCCAUGCUGUCAAUUAUGAAUGCUAGCAUUUGGAUUUCAUUCUUUUGCACAGUUAACACGUUAAGCAUUCCGCCUGGGAAGUACGAUCGCAAGAUUGGAACUCAAAGGAAUUGACGGGAGUCUAUACAAGUGGUGGAGCAUGUGGUUUAAUGCGAAAAUACGCGCGAAAUCUUACCAGUUCUUGCAUACUUUUUAAAAUUUUAGUAAAGUAAAAUUUAGUUUUAAAUCUAUACUUAGACUUAUAACAAUAUUGUACAGGUGCUGCAUGGCUGUCGUCAGCUCCUGCUGUGAAGGGUUUGGUUCANUCCUUUUACGAGCGCCACUCUUUUUCCAAAUUGGGAAAAAAAUAAUUUUGGUAAAUUUUUACCCACUUUAAAA